rnacentral:rRNA from 1 species
AUGAAGAUCCUAUUUGCUGAAUAUGCAUCUGAAUAUGAAAACACUUCUGAUGAAGGUGAUGAGGUUGUAGAGGAGGAUGGUGAGCGCACUCUCGAUGACUGGAAUAAGCAUUUGAGAUUGAAAAGAUCCCACAACUCAAAUGAGCUACAACGAUAUCUUGAGGAAGACUUGUUUCCUCGCCAACAGAAAUUGGAUAUCUUAAAGUGGUGGGAGAUUCACUCCCCAAAGUAUCCAGUGCUUGCGGCUAUAGCACGGGACAUAUUGGCAAUGUCUGCGUCUACAGUGCCUGCAGAGGCUGCAUUUAGCAAUGCUGGACGGAUCAUCACUGCUCAAAGAAGUAGUUUGACCCCGAGUACUGUUGAGACGCUGAUGUGCCUCGAGGAUUGGUUUCGAGCAGCUGAUCACCAAAAGAUGGAACCAACAGUUGGAGACCAUGGUGGUGAGCAAGACGAUGCUGGAACCACCUAA